AAGAAGUUAAAUCGAGUGCAUCAAGGUUCGUUUAAAACAAGAAGAAAAAAACGGAUCCGUUCAGAAGCAAACGCCUGAAUUUACUCUAAAGAAGUUUAGGAAAAGUGCAGAGGCAGGUGAUCUCUGAUGAUGAAGAAAUAACCCUUCUUUACAAAGAAAGGGCCCAGGUGAAAGAAGGACUCAAAAACAGCGGUCAAAUUUCUUUCAAUUUAGACACUGUGCUAAAUAUCCAAUCAGCUUCUAAAAUGACCUUUUUCCCCUUUGAAACGUCUCGUUUAUGAGACCUAACUUACAAUGUAGUUUCUUUUUUAUUUUAAAUGAACAAGUCAGAGAGGAGCACAUGGCUACAAAAUCACCCUUUCAGCAACAGGGAUAGUAAACUAUAUUCUUUAAAUGCCUCAGUGGCGACUUCACGAACGCAGACGUAUUUCUUUGGUUUUUUUUGGGGGGGGGGGAAUGUUUCCACGGUGGCAUAGACAAGGUGGUCUGUGUGCAGAUGUGGAUUAGAAAGCACUUGAUUUUGGCACAAGAGACUCCAGAGUGCAUUUUGCCUGACUCCUAUCGUUUUUAGGAGUAAAGCAGCAGAUGCACUUUGGUCAAGACAGAAAAGCCCCCGGGGAUUUGUCCCAGUACCUUUAUGCUGUGGGGCGACACAAACAACCUGACAUGGCGACACUGAAAAUAAGGUGCAAUGUGAUAAUGAAUGAUACUAAAUUUAGUUGUGAUCUCACCAAACCAGGUCUUGAAUUGAAAGUCCUCUGACAAAUCCCACGCUGUGGAAACUGAUGUAAAAAUGCGGCUUGAAACAUGUCAUAAAUCCAGACAUCUGAGAGUAACUGACAGCAUCCUCUUUCUGCUUUUACCUGAUUAGCAGAGAUUCAAGUUCAUCACAGCACCAGCAGAGCUAGCGAGCUGACAAAUGAGAGAUGGGAGGCACAGCGUGAGGUCACGGCGAGCUGGUGAGCCACCACACGCUGGGUAAAUAAAUAAGCCACGUUGCUGUCAGCUCUGGCCAAUAUUCAUCACAUUAAUAGCCACCUUGGGGUUGGCUAAAUGUUCCAAAGCAUCAGCAAGGUCAGGCUGGUUAUAGCAUAACAAACUUCAAGAAACAUAUAAUAUAUCAUAUAUAUAUUCAUGCGCCCAAAAACAACAAUGGCGCUGUAGAGGUUCAAACAAAAUGAUAAUGAGAGUAAAAGAUCAUUUGAAUAAUCAAUGUCUUUGAUCAGCAGCACCUCCUUGAACACUCCUACUCCUUCAGUGUGGGGC
rnacentral:lncRNA from 1 species